ensembl:lncRNA
GUGUGUGACUCAUUUACCAGGACGCCAGAGGGGCUCAGCCCCGAGGGAGACCGAGCUAUUUCCCCAACAACCCUGAAUGUUCAUUGCAAGGACUGAAGCUGAAGCUCCAAUACUUUGGCCACCUGAUGCAAAGAACUGACUCAUUUGAAAAGACCCUGAUGCUGGGAAAGACUGAAGGCGGAGGAGA